UAAGACAUUAUAAAUUAAGGUGAUAGAUCACCAAACAGAGACGCCCAUAGUUUUAGUCUUCCUCCUUUCCCAUAAAACCCAAUCGUAUCUGUCCGCCUAAAAAGAAUCAAGGACGUCAAUGGGUGCGUCGGCGACGAUGAUACCGGCCGCCGUAGUGACGAUGAUCCUGCUGCUCAAUAUUCCAAGUAGUUGCGAAGCUCUUACAACUUUCGAACCACUUCUCAGCAACCACACUUCAUAUGGCGAACAAUUGAUGGUCGGAGAAGAAGAUAUGGACAUGGAAUUUAUAAUGGAGUCACACAUAAGCCGGAUUCUAGCGUCAUCUCAAAACUUCCAAACAACCUCCACCGUAGACGCUAACAAAGCUUCUGGAGGCGGUUGUGGCCGACCACCGCGCUACGACAGUUGUCUCGGCCAGAAAAGAAAUAAUCCCCCGCCCCCAAACUGUGGCACCUACAAUCGCGCAAAUCCCUGUUAGAUAAUUUUAAUCUUCACCUUCUCUAUUAUUCACCUUUUUUUUUUUUCUUUCUCUUACCAUUUAUGAUUAUACAAUUUCUCACUCAAAUCUUUACCCUUAAAUCUUAAUAAUGCAAAAUAUUGUACUUCCUCAA